rnacentral:tRNA from 1 species
CUAGAGAAAGAGGAGCCCCACCUCCUUAAUGA